GAGUAGUGGUAUUCAAAGUAGCAGGUCAAUGAACUGUUUGUACCUAUAUACUAUGAGAAAAGGAACCUAUACUGGACUUGUUUUAAGGAAGAAACUAUAAAUUUUUUUCACCCCAUGAAUUUUUAAAGAACUAUUCUAAACAUUUGUUGAAAGAAACUAACAAGAGAUCUGAGAAUAAAAUACCUGGGAAUAAAUUUAACCAAGAGGUGAAAGACCUGGAUACUGAAAACUACAAAAAAUUGCUGGCAGAAGUUAAAGAGGAACUAAUUAAAUGAACUUUGUUACUUCACUUCACUAAUGUGUCAAAUUGAAGAACUCCUUUUAUCAUGUCUUGUAAAACAGGUCUGGUGUUGACAAAAAUACCUCAGCUCUUUUUUGUUUGGGAAAGUCUUUAUUUCUUCUUCAUGUUUGAAUGAUAAUUUUGCUGAACAUAUUCUAGACUCCUUCAGAAAUGCAACACAGAGGACUCUGUAGCCCAACGCAUAAUCUACACUCCAAACUGAAGUUUCUCAUUCAACCUUUGUCUGCUUUACCAUCCUGAUGAGCUUGCCUUCACAUUAACUCAAUGACCCAUGUUGCCCUGUUCACCGAAAUCCUGAAACCAACACUGAGGUAGUGCUGGAGCCUGGCUGUGGCUCUGCCCAACUUUCCUGAGCCGCCUCCACUCCUUGCUACUACUGGUCACAGUGGAGAGAUACAUAGAGGACAACAGGCAAGGAAGAAAGAGAGCUGAAGAUUAUCAUUAUUUCCUCACUCUUUCCACCAAAGAUAUUAUCUCCUGGUCCUGAAAUAGUAAGACAGCCCCAUUCUAAGGCAGGAUGCUUGGCAGUAGCCCUCUCCCCGUGACAGAUACAGAAAGGUGAUAGACACUUUACAAACAUGCUUCUUAAUAAGAAAAAUACUACUGUCACCAAAAAUAAAUAAAUUGUAUACACAGCUUUGGGAUCAAGCUGCUCCUUGACACCCUCCUGAGAUACCAGACAAUAAAAAAUGUAGAUUUUAAAAAGUAACCAUCACCUUAUGCUUUAUAAUAAGCCACAAUUUUGUGCUGUUCUUAUUCUAUUAAAGACAAUCGCUACAAUAUAUAAACAUGGUUAGAAACCAUGCAAGCAAGAAGAGCAUGUGGUGAAAUAUUUAAAGAAUUGAAAGAAAAAAAAAUCUACCUAGAAGUUUGUACCCAGUGAAAUUAUCCUCCAAAAGUGAAGGAAAAAUAAAGAUUUUCUCAGAAAAAAGAAUUGAUGUAGACCUACCUUGCAAAGAAACAUUACAAGAAGUUCUUCAGAGAGGAGGAAAAUGGUGUAGGUCAGAAACUUGGGUCUGCAUAAGCAACAGGGAGCAUCAGGAAAGAAGUUAGGUUGUCAAUAAAAGGGCCACGAGAGAGAGAGAAGAGAACUUGAAGAGACAAUAAAGGACACAAUUUGCUGCUUUCUGAAUCACUGAUGAAUCUGAGUCAGUUAAGGUAUAAAUGCUUCAAAAGUAAAUAGUAUGAAUGGCAA
rnacentral:sRNA from 1 species